GACGAACGCUGGCGGCGUGCUUAACACAUGCAAGUCGAACGGAAAGGCCCUGCUUUUGUGGGGUGCUCGAGUGGCGAACGGGUGAGUAACACGUGAGUAACCUGCCCUUGACUUUGGGAUAACUUCAGGAAACUGGGGCUAAUACCGGAUAGGAGCUCCUGCUGCAUGGUGGGGGUUGGAAAGUUUCGGCGGUUGGGGAUGGACUCGCGGCUUAUCAGCUUGUUGGUGGGGUAGUGGCUUACCAAGGCUUUGACGGGUAGCCGGCCUGAGAGGGUGACCGGCCACAUUGGGACUGAGAUACGGACCAGACUCCUACGGGAGGCAGCAGUGGGGAAUAUUGCACAAUGGGCGGAAGCUUGAUGCAGCAACGCCGCGUGCGGGAUGACGGCCUUCGGGUUGUAAACCGCUUUCGCCUGUGACGAAGCGUGAGUGACGGUAAUGGGUAAAGAAGCACCGGCUAACUACGUG
rnacentral:rRNA from 1 species